GACUCUUCGUAUUGUUUUCUUUGUUUCUAUUUCAUUGAUUUCAGCCCUCAAUGUGGUUAUUUCCUGGUGUCUACUUGGAGGAGAUAUUUUAAUGAGAGUGCACUUUGAGAUUUCAAAAACUCACACCAAGCCCAGUGUUGCCUUCUCUGCCUGCUGCAGGUAGAUCGGAAUGCAAAGCUCUCAGCUCCCUCUCCAGCAUCAUUGCCUGCUUGCAUGCUACCAUGCCUCCUGCCACAGUGAUCGUGGACUAACCUUCUAAAACUGGCCAUUCUUCAUAGACACAGAGGAAACAAUCCAAAAAUGUAUGUGAAAACAGGAAAGAUGAACGGUAGCCAAAAUGAUCCUGAACAAAAAGAAUACUACAGCAGAUGGUCCAGAGAAUGAUGCCCAAGAAGUACAACAAAGCCAGCCCUGUCGCUGGUGAAGGUUCACACCUGGCUAUACAUGGGAACCCUCUGGUUGCAUCUCAGGGUUUUCAAGCCUGCCUGUGCAGGAAGAAGUAACAGCACAAACUGUCAAUGAGCACACAGAAUGAGGUAGCUAAAGUGAGGAUGAAUUUGUGGGGCCACAGAUCAUGAUGCUACAAACCCUCCUCACCAAAAAGUCCCAGAGAGGAUUACAAUGAAAGGACAAGGAGAGUCAAGAUAGGACCCAAGGUCAGCAGCCACCUCCAGCCAGUGAACACAUCAGAGUAGACUCGGCCUCAGGACCCCAGCCUUGAACCUGUGUUAUCCCCCUUCCCAUCAUCUACCCCAAAGGAUCAGUGCCAAGGGACCAACGGAUUGACUGGUUAAAGAGAUUCUGGCACCGUAGAGCUGGCGACCCAUCCCAGAAGGCCCGGAACAUCCUUCCUCUACACCCGGAUUCCUCCUUCCUCCUUUGGAAGUAGCAGUUUAGAAAAGACAUUCUCACCUCUAGAUAUACACUGCAACUGCUGCAGCACCAAAUCAAAGCUUCCCUCGUGACCAUUUCAUCUUCUUCUUCUAAUUAAAUGGGAAUAUUUAAAUUCUACAUAUAGCCCAAUUUAAGCAGG
rnacentral:lncRNA from 1 species